rnacentral:lncRNA from 1 species
GGAAGGAGACUUAGAAAAACUUUCUGCAUGGGCUAUCCCUGUUUUACGUCCACAAGAACUGCAUGCAGCAUUCCAGUUGAAGAUGGCAGUGCUGCUGAACCAAAUUCAGGUGCCUGAGUUCUCAGAUCCUUUUUCUGCACAAUUGUUCCUGUCUGCAUUCAAAAGCCAAGGAUUCCAUACAGGCAAAACUCCAUUCAGUAUAAUUUUCCAGUCCUUCACUCGUGUUCCCGCAAAUCUUCAUGAGUUGAGCAAAUAGAUGCAGUAGAAUGAGCUGAGAAAACCUAAGACUUGC